UACGUAGGGUGCGAGCGUUAAUCGGAAUUACUGGGCGUAAAGCGUGCGCAGGCGGUUCGUUGUGUCGGCGGUGAAAUCCCCGGGCUCAACCUGGGAACUGCAUUUGUGACUGCACGGCUAGAGUACGGUAGAGGGGGAUGGAAUUCCGCGUGUAGCAGUGAAAUGCGUAGAUAUGCGGAGGAACACCAGAGGCGAAGGCGGCGACCUGGACAGGUACUGACACUCAACUACGAAAGCGUGGGGAGCAAACAGG
rnacentral:rRNA from 1 species